rnacentral:rRNA from 1 species
GACGGGGCCCGCACAAGCGGUGGAGCAUGUGGUUUAAUUCGAUGCAACGCGAAGAACCUUACCUGGGCUUGAACUGCAGGCGUAGUCGCUUGAAAGAGCGGCGAACUCCUUCGGGAAGACCUGUAGAGGUGCUGCAUGGCUGUCGUCAGCUCGUGUCGUGAGAUGUUGGGUUAAGUCCCGCAACGAGCGCAACCCUUGCCAUUAGUUGUCAGCGAGUCAUGUCGGAUACUCUAAUGGGACUGCCGGUGACGAGCCGGAGGAAGGUGGGGAUGGCGUCAAGUCCUCAUGGCCCUUAUGUCCAGGGCUACACACGUGCUACAAUGGCCGGUACAAAGGGUAGCAAGACCGCGAGGUGGAGCCAACCCCAAAAAGCCGGUCUCAGUUCGGAUUGGAGUCUGCAACUCGACUCCAUGAAGUUGGAAUCGCUAGUAAUCGUGGAUCAGCAUGCCACGGUGAAUACGUUCCCGGGCCUU